ACUCCUACGGGAGGCAGCAGUAGGGAAUCUUCCACAAUGGACGCAAGUCUGAUGGAGCAACGCCGCGUGAGUGAAGAAGGGUUUCGGCUCGUAAAGCUCUGUUGUUAAAGAAGAACGUGGGUGAGAGUAACUGUUCACCCAGUGACGGUAUUUAACCAGAAAGCCACGGCUAACUACGUGCCAGCAGCCGCGGUAAUACGUAGGUGGCAAGCGUUAUCCGGAUUUAUUGGGCGUAAAGCGAGCGCAGGCGGUCUUUUAAGUCUAAUGUGAAAGCCUUCGGCUCAACCGAAGAAGUGCAUUGGAAACUGGGAGACUUGAGUGCAGAAGAGGACAGUGGAACUCCAUGUGUAGCGGUGAAAUGCGUAGAUAUAUGGAAGAACACCAGUGGCGAAGGCGGCUGUCUGGUCUGUAACUGACGCUGAGGCUCGAAAGCAUGGGGUAGCGAACAGGAUUAGAUACCCUGGUAGGAUAGCG
rnacentral:rRNA from 1 species